rnacentral:rRNA from 1 species
GAUGAACGCUGGCGGCAUGCCUAAUACAUGCAAGUCGAGCGAAGCGGGGGCAGGGGAGUAACACGUCGAUAACCUCCUAUAAGACUGGGAUAACUUCGGGAAACCGGAGCUAAUCCGGCAAAUUAGAGAUGGUUGCGGGCGGGAUUAGCUAGUUGGUAAGGUAACGGCUUACCAAGGCAACGAUGCAUAGCCGACCUGAGAGGGUGAUCGGCCACACUGGAACUGAGACACGGUCCAGACUCCUACGGGAGGCAGCAGUAGGGAAUAUUCCGCAAUGGGCGAAAGCCUGAUGGAGCAACGCCGCGUGAGUGAUGAAGGUCUUCGGAUCGUAAAACUCUGUUAUUAGGGAAGCGGUACCUAAUCAGAAAGCACCGGCUAACUACGUGCCAGCAGCCGCGGUAAUUC